GACGAACGCUGGCGGCGUGCUUAACACAUGCAAGUCGAACGGAAAGGCCCUGCUUUUGUGGGGUGCUCGAGUGGCGAACGGGUGAGUAACACGUGAGUAACCUGCCCUUGACUUUGGGAUAACUUCAGGAAACUGGGGCUAAUACCGGAUAGGAGCUCCUGCUGAAUGGUGGGGGUUGGAAAGUUUCGGCGGUUGGGGAUGGACUCGCGGCUUAUCAGCUUGUUGGUGGAGUAGUGGCUUACCAAGGCUUUGACGGGUAGCCGGCCUGAGAGGGUGACCGGCCACAUUGGGACUGAGAUACGGCCCAGACUCCUACGGGAGGCAGCAGUGGGGAAUAUUGCACAAUGGGCGGAAGCCUGAUGCAGCAACGCCGCGUGCGGGAUGACGGCCUUCGGGUUGUAAACCGCUUUCGCCUGUGACGAAGCGUGAGUGACGGUAAUGGGUAAAGAAGCACCGACUAACUACGUG
rnacentral:rRNA from 1 species